AUUGAACGCUGGCGGCAGGCCUAACACAUGCAAGUCGAACGAGUGGCGGACGGGUGAGUAAUGUCUGGGAACCUGCCUGAUGGAGGGGGAUAACUACUGGAAACGGUAGCUCAUCCCGCAUACCAUCAGAUGUGCCCAGAUGGGAUUAGCUAGUAGGUGGGGUAACGGCUCACCUAGGCGACGAUCCCUAGCUGGUCUGAGAGGAUGACCAGCCACACGGGAACGGAGACACGGUCCAGACUCCUACGGGAGGCAGCAGUGGGGAAUAUUGCACAAUGGGCGCAAGCCUGAUGCAGACAUGCCGCGUGUAUGAAGAAGGCCUUCGGGUUGUAAAGCACUUUCAGCGAGGAGGCGUUACUCGCAGAAGAAGCACCGGCUAACUCCGUGCCAGCAGCCGCGGUAAUAC
rnacentral:rRNA from 1 species